rnacentral:rRNA from 1 species
GCCGAUGGGUGCCGUUAAUUGGACAUUUCUGCAGUCGCUGGGCCCUCGCGUGCGGGGGAGACCGUCGGAGUAGCGUUCGCGCGAAAAAUUCGGUCCCUCCGCCCCAGCUUGGGCUCACCUCAAGAGACCGACGGAAGGCACCCUUGGUGGGCGAAAGGGAAUCCGGUUCCAAUUCCGGAACCUGGCUACGGAACCGUUCCAACGGGCCCUCGGACGAAGUGCUCGUCGGGGUAACCGAAAUGAGCCCGGAGACGCCGUCGGGAGGUCCGGGGAGAGUUGUCUCUUCUCUAUAAGCGUUCGGGUUCCCUGGAAUCCUUUAGCAGGGAGAUAGGGAAUGGAGCGCAAAGAGCACCGCAGUUGCAGCGGUGUCCGGAUCUUCCCCUCGGACCUUGAAAAUCCGGGUGAGGGCCACGAGGAACCCCGUGCCAGACCGUACCCAUAUCCGCAGCAGGUCUCCAAGGUCAAUAGCCUCUAGUCGUUAGAAUAAUGUAGGUAAGGGAAGUCGGCAAUCUGGAUCCGUAACCUUGGGAGAAGGAUUGGCUCUGAGGAUCGUGGUGAGCCGGGCUUGGUAGGGAGGCGGGGUUGUGUCAACGAGCCGGGCCUGGGCGAGGUUUGACGCUCUCACGGGCGUCGAGCCCAGCUCGGUCCCGCGCCUUGGCCACCCGCGGACUUUCCUUGCUGCGAGCUGCAGGCUGCUCUAGUUGCCGUCUCUGUGCGGUGGACGGGCCUGCUGUCUCUUCGGCCAUCAUUUAACGGUCAACUCAGAACUGGCACGGACCAGGGGAAUCCGACUGUCUAAUUAAAACAAAGCAUUGCGAAGGCCCUAACGGGUGUUGACGCAAUGUGAUUUCUGCCCAGUGCUCUGAAUGUCAACGUGAAGAAAUUCAAUAAAGCGCGGGUAAACGGCGGGAGUAACUAUGACUCUCUUAAGGUAGCCAAAUGCCUCGUCAUCUAAUUAGUGACGCGCAUGAAUGGAUUAACGAGAUUCCCUCUGUCCCUACCUACUAUCUAGCGAAACCACAGCCAAGGGAACGGGCUUGGAAUAAUCAGCGGGGAAAGAAGACCCUGUUGAGCUUGACUCUAGUCUAGUAGUGUGAAACGUUUUUAGAGGCGUAGAAUAAGUGGGAGACCGCAAGGUCGAUAAUGAAAUACCACUACUUUGAUAAAUGUUUUACUUAUUGAAUGAGAAAGAAGGCGUGAAUAAUGCAAUUCUAGAGAAAGAAGGGAGGAAACAACCUUUGAUCUUGAUUCAAAAUAUUAUUAGAUAGGGAGUUUGGCUGGGGCGGCACAUUUACUAAAUGAUAACGUAAAUGUCCAAAGAUAGACUCAAUAAGAAUAGAAAUCUUAUGUAGAACAAAAAGGUAAAAGUUUAUUUGAUUUUUAUUUUCAGUAUGAAUGUAAACUAUGAAAGUAUGGCUUAUCGAUCCUUUAUGAUAUGAGAGAGAUGAAUAAUCUCUUUUGAUUCAAGU